CAGCAGCCGCGGUAAUACAGAGGGUGCGAGCGUUAAUCGGAUUUACUGGGCGUAAAGCGUGCGUAGGCGGCUUUUUAAGUCGGAUGUGAAAUCCCUGAGCUUAACUUAGGAAUUGCAUUCGAUACUGGGAAGCUAGAGUAUGGGAGAGGAUGGUAGAAUUCCAGGUGUAGCGGUGAAAUGCGUAGAGAUCUGGAGGAAUACCGAUGGCGAAGGCAGCCAUCUGGCCUAAUACUGACGCUGAGGUACGAAAGCAUGGGGAGAAAACAGGAUUAGAUACCCGCGUAGUCCCUGUCUCUUAUAC
rnacentral:rRNA from 1 species